rnacentral:misc_RNA from 1 species
UCAAACUUGGUCAUUUAGAGGAAGUAAAAGUCGUAACAAGGUUUCCGUAGGUGAACCUGCGGAAGGAUCAUUAACGAAUAACUAUGGUGUUGGUUGUAGCUGGCUCCUCGGAGCAAUGUGCACGCCCGCCAUUUUUAUCUUUCCACCUGUGCACCGACUGUAGGUCUGGAUACCUCUCGCCUCCGGGCGGAUGCGAGGGUUGCUCGAGAGGGCUUCCCUUGAACUUCCAGGCUCUACGUCUUUUUACACACCCCAAUAGUAUGAUGCAGAAUGUAGUCAAUGGGCUUCUCAGCCUAUAAAACACUAUACAACUUUCAGCAACGGAUCUCUUGGCUCUCGCAUCGAUGAAGAACGCAGC